CCUGUAGCUCAAACGGUAAAGAAUCUGCCUGCAAUGCAGGAGACCAGGGUUCGAUCCCUGGGUCAGGA
rnacentral:tRNA from 1 species